CCUAAAAAUAGGUCUCAGUUCAGAUUGCAGGCUGCAACCCGCCUGUAUGAAGUUGGAAUCGCUAGUAAUCGCGGAUCAGCAUGCCGCGGUGAAUACGUUCCCGGGCCUUGUACACACCGCCCGUCACACCAUGAGAGUCUGUAACACCCAAAGCCGGUGGGAUAACCUUUAUAGGAGUCAGCCGUCUAAGGUAGGACAGAUGAUUAGGGUGAAGUCGUAACAAGGUACC
rnacentral:rRNA from 1 species